rnacentral:rRNA from 1 species
CUCCAGGCGUCGAGCGGCGGACGGGUGAGUAACGCGUAGGAAUCUGCCCAGUAGAGGGGGAUAGCCCGGGGAAACUCGGAUUAAUACCGCAUACGCCCUACGGGGGAAAGCAGGGGAUCUUCGGACCUUGCGCUAUUGGAUGAGCCUGCGUUGGAUUAGCUUGUUGGUGGGGUAAAGGCCUACCAAGGCGACGAUCCAUAGCUGGUCUGAGAGGAUGAU